CAGUUCGGUCCCUAUCCGCUGCGCGCGCAGGAAAUUUGAGAAGAUCUAUCCCUAGUACGAGAGGACCGGGAUGGACGAACCUCUGGUGUGUCAGUUGUUCCGCCAGGAGCACCGCUGAUUAGCUACGUUCGGAACGGAUAACCGCUGAAAGCAUCUAAGCGGGAAGCCGGCUUCGAGAUGAGAUUUCCAUCCCUUCGGGGGAGAGGCUCCCAGCCAGACGACUGGGUUGAUAGGCCGGAUGUGGAAGACAGGACUAAAGACUGUCGGAGCUGACCGGUACUAAUAAGCCGAUAACUUGAUAA
rnacentral:rRNA from 1 species